ACCUCAUUUUAUUCCCCUCCCAAUUUUCCCAAAAAUUCCCCCAAAUCAAGAACCCUAGUCUGCUGCGCUUCACGACCCAAACCUUCCCCAAAUCUGCUGCAUUGUCGUAGACCGUCCCUUCUGCCGUCGUUCAUCUCUACUUCUUUAAGCGUAAUCUAAAUUCAAGAUCAAGCCUUUUGAAAUCUGGCGAGGUAAAGUUCAUCUUUUUGGGAGUCUUGAGUUAAGAGCAAGAGAAAAUGGGGGAUAAAAAUGAAGUCUUGGAGGCUGUAUUGAAGGAAACUGUGGAUUUGGUAAAUAGAUCUGACCAAACUCGCUCGAAAGGGAUUCAUUUGAUGUUUACUAAUGAUAGAAUGUAUAUUUUAAACCGAAUGAAUCCAUGAUUUUUAUCUUUUUAUAAAAAUAAAGUUUUGGUAAACAGAGGUGAAGUAAGUAGUGAAUGCUUCAUCUUAUCUUUUUCCUUAGGCUCUGUAUGCUUUGCUUUGAUUUAAUGCUACUUUUCUUAAUGGGUUUGUCUAACCUGGCUAUCGGUUUUUGGCUCAUGUGUUGUUCUACAGCCUUUUUAUUAAUAUAUUUAUGGUCUUUUAUAUAAAUGAAUGCACUUUAAAGAAUCAUCUAAAAUUAUCCUGUGCUAUUGUACCUAAAAAAAAAAGUUGUCCUGUGAAUUAAUGUUUUUUAAAUUUAGCAAAAACACACACAAAAAGAGAGAGUAGAUUUGAGUAUUUAUUUCAUAUUCAUAUAUCUUGUGUGUUUAAAUUAAUUUAUAUUUAUAUAAAAUAUUGAUAUGUUAAAUUGAAGCAAAUCA